AGCCUCAGGCCCCAGGAAGCUCGAAGGAGCUGGAAGGCGAAGAGGAGCCGCUUUUGAAUGCGGCGGGGAAUAGACCUGCAACUCCGGUCCUGCUCCCCCCGGCUCCAGACCCCUCGGACGCGGUCCCGGCGGGGAGAAGAGAGAGCAGGAGAAGCCCGUGGCUGCUUUGGGAGAAGCUGGGUACUGCUGGGAGCAGGUGGAGGAGGAACCCCUGGAAAAGCCUGAGAUCCAGUGAGAGGUGGGGAGCAGCCCCCGAUGGACCACCCUACAUCGGCAGCCCCCCUGGAGGAGAGUGUGACCCUGGCCCUUCUUUUCUGCCCCCCACCCUGGUACCCGCCACUCUUAGCCCUGUCCUAAAGAGGUCCUCAGCUCCAGCUUUUUCCUCUUCUUUCCCUGACAUUUCCCUUUAGUGAACAUGUUUCCAGUUUUCCUUUCUCCUUUCCUGUUGCUCAGGAAGGACCCAUGAGUCUCACUCCCCUGGCUGGCACAGCCUGGCUUUGCUUUGAAUUAUUUAUAUAUAUUUUUUUUUUCAGAUUAAGCAUUUAGUGUGAAUAAAUUGUUCUCACUUCUCCCUCUGAUUAUUCACUUUCCCUUAUUAAAAAGUUCUGUCUUGAAACCCUUUCACCCUCUCGCUUUUUCAUAUUCUCCACAUUAGUUAU